rnacentral:rRNA from 1 species
GACGAACGCUGGCGGCGUGCCUAAUACAUGCAAGUAGAACGCUGAAGGAGGAGCUUGCUUCUCUGGAUGAGUUGCGAACGGGUGAGUAACGCGUAGGUAACCUGCCUGGUAGCGGGGGAUAACUAUUGGAAACGAUAGCUAAUACCGCAUAACAGUAGAUAUCGCAUGAUAUCUACUUGAAAGGUGCAAUUGCAUCACUACCAGAUGGACCUGCGUUGUAUUAGCUAGUUGGUGAGGUAACGGCUCACCAAGGCGACGAUACAUAGCCGACCUGAGAGGGUGAUCGGCCACACUGGGACUGAGACACGGCCCAGACUCCUACGGGAGGCAGCAGUAGGGAAUCUUCGGCAAUAGACGGAAGUCUGACCGAGCAACGCCGCGUGAGUGAAGAAGGUUUUCGGAUCGUAAAGCUCGGUUGUAAGAGAAGAACGAGUGUGAGAGUGGAAAGUUCACACUGUGACGGUAUCUUACCAGAAAGGGACGGCUAACUACGUG